UAGACUCCAAAGUGUGAGUGUGAGUAAUAAGGGAAAGCAGUGGGUUUUCUGAGAACUUUCAAGGUCUUUAAAAAGGCAAGAAACUGCUUGUUGUUGCCCAUUAAAGAUUAUUAAGAUUAUCCACAUCUAACCACAGGAAUGACCCCCAACACUGCCAGGAGCUGGGGGACGCUCCAGGCCAUGGGGAGGAGGAGGGAGAGGCAGGAAGGGCAAUGGGCACACAAGGCCCCACUGGCCCAAGCUCAUGAAAAGAGGCUUCCAAAUUCUCUCUUUUAAGUAAAGAAGACAGUAUAAGUUGUUUGAGAGGGAAUAUGCUGCUUCUCACAUGUAUGAAGAUUUUUGUAGGUUCAGCUCAAUGAUGUGUGUUGGAGAGAGGAUGCUGGGGGACGCUCAGGAUCAGCACAAGGCCCCAGACCACAUGGAGCAGCCACUUCCACCAGGAUGAAGCAGUUAUGUCCUGGGAAGCUGGAUGGAGCAGUUAUGUUCUACCUGUUGCUCUCAGUAAUUUGUAAAAUAGCUCUUGGAAGAAUCUGUACUGAGUCAGGUUUCCCUGCUAUUGCAUCAAAGAAAUGGCAGCAAAAAACCAAAAAGGGAUGACUCUCACUGCUGAAAAAAAUCAGUCUAGAGAUUAAUUUGCUGAUCUUUGAUACCAAGUUUUUCUUCAACACCUACCCUAAAUGCCUUUGCUGCAAGGAGGGGUGGAUGUGUCGUGCUUGUUGCAAGGCUAUGUCAAGGCGGAGUUUGUGGGGGUUUUUUAAGAGCUGUUUUAAUCUGUUCUGGAAGUCUGUUUCUUGCCACAGAAAAUCUAAUCACACUGUUCUCUGCACGAGUGGUUUAGAGAAUCCCUCUGUAUCUUUCAACAUGGAAAUGCUCCUUGCAUAUAUAUUGCCUAGCAGUACAUGGUGGAAAACUCAGCAGAAGGAGCAGCCUCCUCAUACCUGCCAUCCUGGCCUGCUGAACUAUGAUUUUCCCCCCUGUUUUCUAUGUUUAAAUCUUGUUUUUUGGUGGUUUGCAGAUACUUCUCUUGCUUCCCACAUAAAUUCCAACAGUAUGACCAGAUGUCUGCUUGGUUUCUCCCAACCACCCUUUUCAGCCCUAAUCCGAAAUGUUUUUAACACCAGCCACACAAGGAUCGUCCUGCAAAUUACCUCAAGCAGAUAGCCAAAACAUUAUCUCAUGCUGGCCUGGAUGUUAGAAUGCUUGCAGCUGAAAUGCUCCCUCAGGAUCCUGGGAAGAUGACUCUGGACUUUCUGGCUCUUCUCUGGGAUGGACAAAGUCAAACCUCAGCCAUUUCCCCAUGUAGGAAAUGUGUUGUUGGAAUGGAGGCUGCUAGAAGACCAGAAAUAUAUUUCUUGGUUGUUCCUUUGCCCAGAGGGAUGCAGAUACCAGCCACAAAAGGUGUCCCUAAAGAGGAAGACUUCAUUUAAGUGGCUUACAGGAGGGAGAAGGUGAUCCUGUUGGUAUCAGUCCAGCUGAAAAACUUCCUCUUUGGAAAUCCUGCCACCUUUGGGGCUGUUCUGCCUGUUGGCAGUGGGGGCAGAGCAGUCCAGGGCUCAACUGAGGAGCAACAACUGCAGAGCACAAAGUUUUUGCCCUAAGAACUUGAGUCUUUCACUCACCUUGAUAAAUUCUUGAAGGUUGGGUGCUGGGCUGUGAAACAUGCUCUGCUCACCUACCACUGGCCUGCUUAUUGUCCUUAUUAUUUUUAUUUUUUUUAUUUGUGUUUUUCUAUUUGUAAAACUUGUGGGGUUUUUUUGUGUGUUUUUCUAUUUGUAAAACUUUUAACUUCAUUAAACUUUCUGAGAUUCAUGGUCAGAAAUUGCUGCUUAAAAAUUGAGUUGUUCAUUCUGCUACUUGAUUAUUUUUUUCCC